UCAUCAAGGCCUCUCUCUCUUUGUUCCUCGAGGCCAGGCUGCACCUGCUGCAUAUAGUCUUCAUCUUGGCUGUCUUGUUUGCUUUCCCCAAUAAUCCUGAUGAUGGUUUGCUCACAGCCACUAUGAAUGAGCAGCUGGAAGCUCCAACAGAGACUGGGUACCCUGCCCAAGGCCCCAGAGACUGGGAACCAGGCUCUGUCCCUGAUCCUUGCCCCUGCUCUGUGCUUUGAUCUCCUCCCAGGGGCUGACUACUGAUCUCCGGCAUUCCAGGACCACUGUACACAACGGGCAGCUUCACCGAGUUCAUAGUCUGUGCUGGCCUUGCUUUCUGUCUUGGAAACUUCCUUCCCUUUCCACUCAGCUGGAGAUGCUGGCGGAGUCCCAGUGGCCACAUCCACGCUGCUCUGUGCACUGCAGCGCAUCAGUGUCCCAGCUUCCUCACUGCAGCCCCAGGCAGAGUUGGCGGGACCUCAUAUUCACCUGUCAAAGAUUUAUUUGGUGCUCGGGGUCUUCGCUUCUCGGCCUCACACUGUUUAUUGAAAUAGUUCAUAGGAUACUGUUAAAGACUAAAACAAAAGUCAAUAGAAAAAUAUUUAUGGGCUGUGGUGGGCCUACUGCCGCAGAUUGAGGAUAUAGCCUUGGGUGUGCAGGAUGGGGGAGGGAGGCGGCACUCCCGAGCAACCCCCUGAGAGUUUUCACCCUGCUUCCCUGGUAUCCCACACCGUUAUGCUCCCUCAGUGGUUGUGUGAGGCUGUGCCUCUCCCUGGCGGAGUGGUUUGGGGACAGGUCCCAAGGGUCCUUCUCUGACCUGGUCCUCCAUGUGUUUACACGACCUUACAUGCCAAGCAUGUUCUGCACUAGCUGUCAUCUGUGCACAUGUCUGACCCUUCCCAGCAUCCAAGUAUCUAGAUGCAAAGUUUGCCUCUGCUAGGCUAUUUCUGUCAUGAGUUUCAAACGGGAUCUCACACAUGUGUCUGUAACAGCUGUCUCUCCCCAACGUCAUGCUGCUGGCUUCUUAAAGGAACUGUACUUUAUUAUUUUAAUUGUUAUUAAUUGCUUAAAAUAAAAAUUAAGUAUUAUUAA